CAUCAGGACAACAAAGUUUUAGGAUUGACAGAUUGAUAGCUCUUUCUUGAUUGACUUAAUGGUGGUGCAUGGCCGUUUUGGUUGGUGGAUCGAUCCGUCUGGUUAAUUCCGUUAACGAACGAGACCUCGGCACUCCGAAUAGCGCGGCGGACGUCGCGGCCUCCGGGCCGUCUUCCGCACGAGCUUCUUAGAGGGACCGUCCCCCGCCGGGGAAGGAGGUGCGAGGCAACGACAGGUCUGUGAUGCCCUUAGAUGUUCUGGGCCGCACGCGCAUUACACUGACGCGUCCAACGGGUGACUCCCGACCCGAAGGGGCCGGGGAAUCCGCAAGGCGCGUCGUGAUGGGGAUUGAACGUUGCAAUUGUUGUUCACGAACGAGGAAUUCCUAGUAGGCGCGGGUCAUCAACCCGCGCCGAUUACGUCCCUGCCCUUUGUACAC
rnacentral:rRNA from 1 species